GUUUUGGGUUCUUUUCUAACUACC
rnacentral:siRNA from 1 species